rnacentral:rRNA from 1 species
UAACACGUAUGCAAUCCACCUGUAACAGGGGGAUAACCCGGAGAAAUCCGGACUAAUACCCCAUAAUAUGGGCGCUCCGCAUGGAGGGUCCAUUAAAGAGAGCAAUUUUGGUUACAGACGAGCAUGCGCUCCAUUAGCCAGUUGGCGGGGUAACGGCCCACCAAAGCGACGAUGGAUAGGGGUUCUGAGAGGAAGGUCCCCCACAUUGGAACUGAGACACGGUCCAAACUCCUACGGGAGGCAGCAGUGAGGAAUAUUGGUCAAUGGUCGGCAGACUGAACCAGCCAAGUCGCGUGAGGGAAGACGGCCCUACGGGUUGUAAACCUCUUUUGUCGGAGAGUAAAGUGCGCUACGCGUAGCGUAUUGCAAGUAUCCGAAGAAAAAGCAUCGGCUAACUCCGUGCC